rnacentral:lncRNA from 1 species
CCUGGGAAUUUAUGGGUAAGAACAACACAAAUAAUCUCCAGGGUAGAGUUAGUGCAGUCACCUUUCUUCUCCAACGAGUGUUUCACGCUGUGUCCUGUUUGCUUGCUUGCAGACUCAGGUAUCGUCUCAUGCUGUGCAAAUGACAUGGAGGAAAAGAUAGGAAAAGGACUGACACUCAAAUUAGGCUGCCAUUAUAAAUCUUUUGAUCUGAUCAACCCAGAAUUAGUAGUUUUCAGCUGGAUUUGAGGCGGUAUCACCGGCUCCUGGGUAAAAUGUGGCAAGGUCUAGAAGCAAAGUGAAAUCUGAAUCCCCCUGAUUCAUGAUUCAUCAAGUUCCCAUACUUGAGCUUUUUGUCAUUCCCAGUCCCCAUAUAUAUGAGCAUAAUGUAACAUGGCCUCAGCAUCAAGCUGACUUCGAUUUACCGAAAAAAAUGUUAUUACACUUUCGCAGUGAGGGUCCAUGAACCAAGAAGAAAAGAAAAUAAUCCCAGAGUGAUGACCACAUUUUCUGCUCUGAACAGGAUCACCUGCAUAAACAAAAUGAAAGCAGACAAUCAUGGUGUUAGGCAUCUGACCAAGUAUCAAAUCAUCUUUUGCCGAUGAUAGUAACAUGUAAUCUCUUACUAAUAAAUAGAUAAACAGGAGCUCUAGCCAUUUCGGAAGCAUUAACAACGGAAUAAAAUGACCAUAAAUUUCAUUCACAGGUUAAAAUCUCAAGCUACUAAACAGGUCAUUUGGUUUCGUUCUAAGAUUAGCAUGACAGGCAGCCUAAUGUCACAUGCUUUGAUCCUUCAGAGUUGGUUCAACUUUUCAAAGUGUCCUGCUGUAGCUCUGAUGUCACAACAACCGGUCCUCACUUCGCCGGUCGGCUGCCUCUGAAGUGGUAUCGAGCUGUCUUUGCUCCUCAAAACCUCCUUUCAACUGUCUUCAUCAAUCUUUCGGGUGGACCAGCAUAAAGAGCAUCCGAAGAGAAAGAGCUAGGCAAAUUACAUGAUUGAGAAAGAUGGCUAAACAGACUGAAUUGAUCUGAAGUGACCAGACUGCUGGGGCCAGCAUCAUGUUGGAGGAGAACAUGUGCAGGGCAUAUUACAGCAAAUGUUCAUUUCCUGAUAGCCCUAAGCACAAUUGGACUGAUUAUUGAUUCCCCUCCACAGCAUAAAUCAGUAAACUCAUUUGGCCACGCAACAAAUGUCUCACCUAAUCCAAUGUCAAAAAGUAGGGUUAACAGACACUUUGGGGAUGGAGAAUUAAUUAGCAAACAAUUAUCUUUGCUAAUACUGUACUUACAUAUGGUAUAUACAAGCACCCCAACAUUGCAACUUCAACUCAAGCAAAUUAAUGAGUUGAGAUCAACAACACGAAAUGAUACAUACUGUUAGCAAUGGUUUCAUAAGUAUUGGUAAAACUACAAUCGAGGAAUAACACUCUGCCAGAAUGAGGAAGCCUGAUGCACAUUUUAGAGUACAAACGGAAAUAAACUGAAAACAAGCAAAAUUUUCCAUUAAUAUGUAUAUCAUUCAAGUUGUCUUGAAAAAACAGAUAGCAGACUGGAUAUACAUAUGGCAAGCAUCAUAUUUAGAUUCGACUAAAAUAUUGGACCACAUAGUCUGCAUGGAUGAACCCUAUGGUGAACUUAUUAAGCAUGUUAAGAAGAUGCAGGAAAAGCGACAACAGGGGGCAUACAACAAAACAGCUGCAAGUAAAAGUUAGUAGCAUAUUGGUAGGUUUGACCAACUACCAUUGCUAAUAAGUUGAUCUCACUGGUUAGUGUAGGUUCCAUAAUGAUCAGAUGUUAUUCUCCAACAAUCUGUAAGUUGAUCACAAUUUAAAGUGGGUUAGGCGAAGGCAAUUAUUGUUGAAGCACAAAAAACAGCAUUGUUCCAACAAUCUCCAGCAGAAUAAGACACAGAUUUAACAGAAGAAUAGGAACCUGAUAGAAGGAAGGAAGAAUCAGCUCAAUGCAAUCCAAGCAUGCUCCUUGUGAAGUAUUGGGAAGGUAUCUGUCUCCCGCUCGCUGAAACUCCAGUCCUCCGGCUAUUUCGCAUCGGCGUCAAGUAAAACCGCAGCAUGCCAUUGUCUACAUGGUUUGGAGAAUACCGAGCACUUCUGUUCCUCUCCAAACCAAAUUCAUCUCUCCUGUUCUUAUGAUUGCCAUUGGGCUUCGUACUGCUGUUCUUCGUGCCCCCAAACCCGGCACUGCCACUGAAAGAGCUCCUGAAGCUCACACUGCUAUUACUCCGGAGAAUCUUGCUACUAAAGCUCUUGGAUCCUAGCUCCGGCCAGGUCUCCGACAAGGAUCGCUCGACCAUAUUGGUUUCUCCUCUGCCACUGUUUCUUCGCUGAAUAAAACCCCAUAUAUUCCAUGCUUUGCUCCACCUCCUGGACUUUUUGGCAGCAGCACCUCUGUGAGGAUCCCUGAAAGCCGACUCGAAGCUGCCCGAGUAAUCGUCCCUCAGAGAAUUCGAGCUCCAGUCUUUCACAUCCCGGUCAAGUAAGGUGUCAUGGUGAAAGUGUAAGAAGUCCAUUCCAUUUGCAGGGGAUACCUUCCCGUUGGAGACCGGCUUAGGCUCACUGGUCUCGACAGGCUGCUCCCUGACGGAGCUGGAGCGGUCGAGGCUUCGCCUCCGCCGACUGGAGGAGUCCAAGUAGUAGUCUCGAGUCUGCGUGGACCCCCCUGGGAUCGCGGCGUCCUCCUCGACGGGGAUCAGGUAGUCUGACCGUUGGACGGCAGGGGCGGGGGCGUCCUCGACGACGGAGAGCAUGGGAGGGAGCCGAGGGAGCACGGAUCGGCCUCCAAACAGGUACCCGUCCCAAGACGCCCUCGGCUCGUCCCACGAGAACCUGGGGUCAUCGAAGGACAUCCGGCCGGCGUCCAGAGAGAAGCGCGGGUCGGUGUCGCAGGAUCUCCGGCCGGAGGCAUCCACGGCGACCUCCGACUGCGUGUCGCGGAACCGCCGGGAUGUCUUGGCUGGCUUCUCCGCCGGCAUUGCGGCGUCGCCGCCUUGCUUCUUCAGCUUCUGUCUUCUCCCCCACUUCUGAAGCUUUUUGCUGAACACGGAGGCCGCGAGCCAGAAGCUGCUGGCGAUUUCCUUGAGGUCCUUGGACGGCGGUUUCUUUGCCUGCUGCUGGGAGUCGCGAUCUAUGUGGUCCUUCAUCGGCUUCAGUUCCGCCUUCUUCUCCUCAGCCCCCUCCUGCCUUUCCUCAGUUAUCUCCCCCGAGGAUCCGACCACCAGGACGACAGGGUCAACAGGCCUGAUCUCGUCGCCGCCGUCGUCGACCUCCUCUUCGCGGGUUUCGGGGACGGGAGGGGCGACGGAGGGACCCGAAUGGCCUUGGUUCCGGCACACCACAUCGUUUGCUACCCCAGCAGACGCCGCGGCGACGGUGGAGGUCGAGGCGCUUUGAGGCCCCCUGUGGCGGUCGUCCUCGUGGAAGAGGGACCACAGCGUGCUGCGGCCGCGGACGUCGCAGGACCUGCGCUGGGGCUCGAAGGCGGCGGCGGGGGGUCGCUGGGCAGAGAACCCGUCGCCGGCCCCGCCCCCGCCGCCGCCGCCGCCGCCGCGGCCAAAGGAGAAGGACUUGGACCGGCGGAGGAAUGAGGGGCCCGCGGAAGGGGCGGCACCAGCGGUCACCUUGCAAAACACGGAUCGGAGGGCGGAGGUGGACUUGCGGCCGGAAGCAGCAGUGGGGGUCUCGAGGCCAGCGAGGCGCUCGCGGAGGCAAGAUGCGCAGAAGCCAGUGACGGUCUCGCCCGGGUGGAGGUCGCAAGUGGAGGAAGGCGCCCGGCGCUGGGCCUGCAGAGGCGGAUGGAGUUGCCGCUGCUGUUGGUGAUGGUGGCUCUCCAUGUCGACCAUCAUGGAAGCGUCGCGACUGGUCCAGUCCCCCGCAAUGAACGAAGCCAUCUCUCUCUCUCCCCCGCGCCCCCCACCCCCCCACCCCCGCUUUCCCAGUUCGCUCGCUAGCAGUCUUCUCUCGGUGUCGUCUCGACUCGCGUAGAGCUUAGACGGGGGGAAGGAAAUAGCGAGGAAGGAAUCGUCGUUGCUCAACGAGGGGGAGAGAGAGGGAGAUGUCAGUAAAGUGGAUACAAAAGAGACGAGGAAAUGUGAGAAAUAGGAUUCCACGAGAGAAAAAGCAGCGAAAGCAAUCACUCACACCCCCUCGUUUCACUUUAUACCUCUCUGCUUUCUUCUUUCACAUAGUUGAUAUAUUUGUUUGGUUGUGUACUUGGCGUCCGGUGCUUAGUGGAAAAGCAAAGCUUGUUGUUAGUCGAUCGAUGCAUGGCGUAAAUAAUGCAGACACCAAAGAAAAUAUUGUACCAAACGAGCACUUUUGACAUGUGGGGGCAAGUGAGAUGGAAGAGACAAAUGUUGACACAAGCCAACAUAAAACUGGAGGCAUUGUGUGACGAGACAUGGCUUAACUUACCAUAAACAUGGGAGAUUUAAGGUGUGGGGGCGGAGUGGGUGUCAGAUGAACCAGAUGGGUGAUUCCUGGCUCACGGAACUCACAUGAGCCAAGUAAGUUCUGCUGCUGCUGCUGUUGCUGCUGUUGCUGCUGCUGCUGUGGUGUGAGAGGACCGUUCUGCUCUUGGAUGAAUGGUGUCGAACGUGAGAGGAUCGCAAUCAUCGGCGAUGGCGAUUACUGCUGUGCUCUUCUUAUCCGUCUAUUACGUGCACCGUUUUGCUGUGGAGUACUACUGUUUGCUACAGGGGGAAGGUUUCAGUGGGCAGUACGUAGCGACAGUGAUCGAGCAACCCUCCCUAAUUCUUUAACCUUUUUUUCUUCUGCUCGGUGAAGAUUCGGGUCGUGGAUCCAACUAGUUUGCCUCUGAAGCCAUUUGACAUGUGGUUGGAGAAGAACUUUGCCUUGGUAUGGGUUUACUAAAACAAUGCACGCAGCUCCUGCGGCAGUUCUUUAUCCAUUAAGAAGGGAACAAAAAGGGCACUUCGUCUCUCUUUAAUUUGAGAGGCAGGCAGAAGCUACCGAUGUGAGCUUGUCGUUUUCUUCACUCGGUAUUGGUAAUGUUUGGUUAAUGUUUUUACAAGGCCAAAAGGCUUGAUGUUUGGGUGUGUUACUUCGGGAAAUAGAUGUUGUAGAAUGAUACGAGUGUUGCACUGCAACAAAAGAAAACAAAAGAGUAUGGGUGAGAGAGGCUCGGUGACGAGUCAUGAGCACCGGGGAUGGAUGGCAUCUGGUCUUUAGCUGAAGGGCAUCGAAAGCGUCCUCGGGAUUUGUCAUGAUCAUGGGCCGAUGAGAUCGCUAAUCUUGACAUUUUGGCAAAGCUAAGCUUUUCAAUGGUUAAGGGAAGGGAAAAAGGAAGGCAGUGCAAGCUGGUAGGACGCACCUCAAACACGCACAAGGGAUAAGCUCAUGAUUACCACCAUGUGAGACUCUCCAUCGUGUUGAUGCUACCCCGGCGGAUAGCUUUCGAACCUAACCCUAAGCCUUGGUCGGGGGAACAAAGCAUGGAAGCUCACACGGCAAAGGGGGCGGGUAAACCUUCUUUAAACCUUCUUGGGGAUCCGCAAUAUUCCAGCGAGAUCUUAGGCCUGGCACUGGUGAUUGAUGGAGAGGGGGGCCUGCAUGGCGCAGGGGGGGAGCUCCUUGGAGUUCACAAAGGAGGGUCCCAUGGACUGAGAAGAUGGAGAUAAAGCUUGAUUGGACUGCAUGGAAAUCAUCACUGCUGGGGCCCAAAGGCAUUUGAAUUGGGAAAAGGAGCAAUGACAAACCCUGCUUUUUAUGCUUUUCUCUGUGGGCAUGCCUGAUGAGCUGCAUCUCUUCCUGCUGGCAAAGCUACCAAAAGGAAAGAGAACCUGUGAAGAAUAAAGAAUCAUCUACCCCCUUCACCACAACACAGCCACCCACUGUCCGUCUACCCCUUGGAAGAAGAAGAGUGAGGAAGGAAAAAGAGGCAUGUCUAAUAUCAAUGAUAUACCAAUAAGCUAAUGGUCGAGCAUAAGCUACAUGUAGCAUCAUCCAGUGACAGACUCUCACUUUUGACGCAUUAAUUUCAUAUGGCUAUGUGAAGCAUGAAGGCAAUGUCUAUUACGUACAUGAAGCAAAUAAAACAUGAUCCAUGCGAUCGAAACACCGACAACGAUGACUACUGGAGUUCAUUGUCAUCGUCUGUCGUCUUCUUGUAGGUGUACCAGUUGGCGAUCAAAAGAUACACCAUUAAAUUGACCGUGCUGAGAAUUGCCAAGAGCCAAAAGAAGUAAUCGAUGUGCCCUCGGUUCAGGUUACCUGGAAUCCAUCCAAGCCUGCCGUUCCUCGUCGUGAUGCCUGUGACUAUUGUGACGAGCAGGGAGCUCAAGUAAUUGCCGAGUGCCACGGUGGUGAGUGACAGGGCACUGCACAAGCUCCUCAUGGCAUCCGGUGCCUGGUCGUAGAAGAACUCCAAUUGUCCAAUGAAGGUGAAGAUCUCAGCUGCUCCCACCAAGAAGUACUGCGGGAUCUGCCAGAAUAUGGAGAUCGGCACGUAGUCUUCGGAGUCGUAUAAGUUGUGACUCGCCACGAUGUGGAGCCUCACGACCUCCAUAAUUCCGGCAGACAACAUGGCCAAGAUGGAGAUGCCCAGGCCGAUGCCCAUCCGAGUCAGCUGAGUGAAGCCACGCUCGCGGCCGGUGAACCUGCGUGCCACGGGGACGAUCAUCCGGUCGUAGAUGGGGACCCAAACGAUCACGCUGAUGGUGUCAAAUAUGGAGAGUGAGGCUGCUGGAAUCUCGAAGUGAGGACCCAUACGAGGAUCUAAAGUGUUGCCUUGGAGCACAAACAUGGUUCCCAUCUGGCUGUAGGUCGUAGCGAAGAGGACGCCGCUCGCCAAUAUCGGAAGCAAUCUCACGAUGCUCUUGAGCUCUUCGACUUGGGUGACAGUGCACAGCCUCCAGGAGUUCACACAGUUCUCGUCUUCUCGAGUGACAACUGCAGCCUUGUCAAGGAACCUGAAUGGAAGUCAGAGAUCGGCACAUAACGUAUCAUAAUCUGCAUCAUAAUGGUUCAUCAAAACUUGCCUUCAUCUAAAGACCAUACAGCAAGUUUUCAUUCAUAUGAGCCAAAUUAAGGAAACUAAGGUAAAUAAUAGAAAUUAAGAAGCAAAAAAGUAAGCUAGAUAGAGCGUCAUGAGCUUACUUCAAUUUGUCAGUGUGUUCAAGCUUACGGCUACCGUGUAUGACAGAUUCCUUCUCUGCGACCUCGAAAAGAAGAGACUUGUCAUCGGGCACCUUGGCUCCAGUCUUUCUCAACGAUGCUACGAUGACCUGAGCAACGCGUGUGACCGGACUUCCUCCAGGUUUCUGGUGCCUGUACAAUGGGGUUCCCAAGAAGAAGCUCACAACUGCUAUUGCCAUCACCACUGCUGGUAUUCCAAACCCCCAGCCCCAUCCUACAUUGGUUUGUAUCCAUACUAGCAUAGAAGAAGCAACCAAGGCACCAACGUUGAUGGAGAAGUAGAACCAAUUGAAGAAGGAGCUCUUCCUUUUCUUCUCCGAUUCAUCUGAUUCAUCGAAUUGGUCAGCACCGAAAGAGGAGACACAAGGCUUUAUUCCUCCAGUUCCCAGUGCAAUGAGAUAAAGCGCUACAAAAACCAUUGCUGUUUGUGCCCUUGUGGGAUCACAGACGCCAUCGUGACAUGUAGGUUCCAUACCUUUGACAGAUGCUGUCAUUGUUAGAAAUGUCAAACCCUGUAAAAAAGCAUACAAGUUGCUUACAAGCUUCUAAAUAUCAAAACUGGGUAGCUGGUGGUACGAGUCUUACAAUGAUGUAAACUGUCAUGAAACUUGCAAUCGUCCAAUAUCUUCCCAAGUAGGAAUCAGCAACAAAGGCCCCAAGCAGUGUCAUGAUAUAGCAUGUUCCUGACCAGUUUGUGACAUUAUUUGAUGCUGUUGUAUUUCCCUGGUGGAGACGGUCCUUCAUAUAGUUCACUAAAUUUGUGCUCAUCCCAUAAUAUGCCAGCCUUUCGCAGCAUUUAUUCGCUGUGAUGAAAUGCAAAAUUCCGACAGUCAGAUUAAUGGCAACACAAAGCGCAAACUUUCACCAUUUUGCAUGAGGAUACCAAGAAUAUAAGGACAAGCCCUCCAAUUGCCAGUAUCCUUCCUCACAGCUGGAUUUCCAUGGAUAUCUGUUGUUCCAUCUUUUGUGUACCUAUCAUCAGUUCCAUCCAUGGUUCUUCCUGAGUGAUACUCAAAAUGAUUCUCUCCUGAGAUGAUCCACACUUUAACAUCAAUGAGACAAUUGCUUAUCUUAUGACACAAUACUUGUACAUUGAAUUAACUAAGCAGUAUAUGACCAAAUAUCAAUAAAACAUUAGAGAAGAAUGAAUCAAUUUACUACACGCAGUUAUGAUUUCAAUAAUUUUAUCAAAAUGUUAUCAUUUUAAUAUACUGGCAAUCUGUAGCUUGCAACAUUUGGCAAUUUAAAUCCCUAAACAUCUUAUCAUUCAUAAAACCCCAAAAACAGUGCAAGUGACUAGUAAGAGAGUAUUGCAAAUAGUAUUUUUGUCAGUCGUGCUUAAUUGCUACAACCAUAGCUGCAAUUUGUCAUCCACCAAAAACCAUAGAUGCAACUGGUCUAUGUAAAUUCAAACGAAGUAUCUCCUGCAGAGUACAGCAAUCACACUGCAUAUCAAUUGGGAGUACUUUUGUUUGUCGUGAGACAAACUUAUAGUACAUAUUAUUUGUUAUAUAGUUGUCAUAAAAAAAAAAAGAAAAAAAAUCCCAUCCAUAUCGACAAGAAUGAUGGGUUGCACGAACAAGAGUAACCCAUAAAACAAUAUCAGUAAAGCAUCAGUUUGCUGUCUCAUACAUUUGUCAUCCACAUCCUUUCUGACUUCACAUGCAAAUCACAAUUAGCGACCGCAUAUAUGAUGAGAAUUGCAAUGAGCAAACCCCUUAAUCUCAAGUUUACAUUUUCCUGUUUACCAAAUUACUUGCAAGAUUAAAGAAAACUAACAUGCUAAGGAGAACAAUCUGCAGUCUCAUUUACCGAUCAUGAACACAUAAACUAAGGAACUGACUAUAAAAAUCCCAGAACCUAGAUCUUCACAAAAAAAUCUUACAAUUUAUCUUAGAUCUAAUGAGAUGAACAAGUGGAAACGAAAUCAUGAGAUAACACAGAUGAGAAUUCACCAAAAGAUGGCAACGUUUCUUCGGAUGUCUUAUCUAAUCUCAACCUCACAUAUGGUAGAGGUUCAUAUCAAGGAACGAUGGUGCGCACUGUGGUUUGCCGGCAUCUUGAAAUCAUUACAAACAUAAAUAUACUCAAGACUUCUGAAGGAAACCGUCUCCUCCCACUGAUGAAAGGAACUGAGCACUUAUAGAGCAAAAGUAGCACAUGCCCAGUGGACCAGCAAAAAAGAUUAUCCUCAAUAGAACGGUUUAGGUCAAAAUGGAGCAAAUUUUAGAGAUUUCACAGCACGAUGCAGUGAAUUGAAUUAUCCGUGGACUACGGGAUAAGGCAUUUCACAGUUCAAAUUCGAAUGCCAGUAACAGAAUGCGUUUAGGAUUCCAACUCCAUCAUAUUGCAGUUUAUUCAGCGCAAUCCCCAAAUAAAUAGGACCAAAUCAACAUGAAAGAUGUUCCAACUUUUAGAAAGAGAACAAAAACGAGAUUCGGUCGAUGAUUUACCAGAUCAGGUCUCGUGACCCGGACAAUGACGGAGAAGGGAUCUUCUCUCGCGCUAUCACUUGGUGUUUACAGGUUCUACAAGAGAGAAGAGACGAUCAGGGGAGGUCCAGAAGUUGCGCCGAUACUAAUUUCCGGGAACAUCUGCAUUGAACCGGUGAAAGGUAAGAACAACAACUCACAUCCAUAUCAAACGAGAGAAAGGAUUCAUUCCGAUACCAGCUGCAAGAUUCUUUGAACCCGACCUCGUUCCUGCACUGUAGAUGAAGGGGAAGAAGAAAGAUUCAGGGGGAGGGGGUGAUGGAAAAGCUUAGGAAUUGGUUUCUCUGCUCCCGCUAACCAACCCAAAACUGCGACCAUCUCAAGCCCUAAGAAAUCUCCGCCUGUGUGGGAUGGGGGGAACACUUGGCCGCUCGCGGGUGUCAGAAUUCGAAACGGUGUGCAGUCAGCGGUACGCGUUCUCCCCUGGGGUGAAGUCAAUCGGGACCCACGAAUCGGUCAGACAUCUCAAGCCACCUCAGCUGAGCUAAUUGAUACAUAUCAGCGGCAACCAUCACUCUUAUUAACUAUAUUGUUUUAUAGAAAAAAAUUGUUUUGCGAUUUAAUUAUUUUAAUUUUAAUUACUUCAAACUUAUAUUAGUUUACGUUCAAAAUGGAUAGAAAAUAUAUUAAUAACCAAUAAUCCGAUAAAUAAGUAAAAUAACCAUGGAAGAAAAAGAUUUAAGUCAGCAUCUACCUUUGCUUACGUGGACAAAUGCAAGUCAUUUAGAACUAUAUCCUCCCAACGCCCACAUGGACAAAACACCAAGAAGAGAAUAUUAGAGUGGUUACAAGUUGUCCCCUCCAAGACGAAGUAUAAACGCAAAUCCUCGACGCUACGUCGAGAGACUUUUUUUCUGAAAAAAAACUCAUACCCACUAAGAAACUUUGGUCACUAACUUGAGCGUUGGAUAGGCCAUAUCAAAAAAUUUCCCCUAACAUUAGUCUUGGUGCAAGUACCACAUCAGUCACCACUUUAGACAUUCCUAUAACCUCGGGUUUGGAACAUGUCGAGUUCACUCAAACGUCGAUGACGAUUUCCCCUAAUAUUUUGGUACUAAAAGGAGGGUCUAAUGUCGCAGGAAUGUUCGUCUGUCAACCCUCUUAAUAAAUGCUCUAGCGAUGAGACCUUGCCUUCAACCCAUAGCACUUUUACUCAGGAGGGCCGUUGUCAUCUUUUCUACACAUGGAUAUAUCCACUUCGAUGCAAACAUCGGUGCAGGCAUCUGUUCAAUGACCCAAGUCUCUCGCCAUUGUGAAUGACUUCGAGCUACCUACUUAUCCCCAUCGAAGUGUUCCUGAACCUCACUUAACAAGUGUAGACGCUAACAGGCAUGAUGCAAGCUAUCACCUCGAUCUUGCCUCCACUAGCCUAACAAGCAACACCAUCUCAGUCGUAAUCAAUACCUCAGCCGCUACUAGCACUAGUGCUUGUUGGAAUCUCUCCCGCCCAACAUAGUGCUAGCAUCUCAGAAUUACUCAAGGCCCAUGGAACUCCUAGCCGAGGGAGUGCCUCGCUCCCCAACCGUGAAAUUCAGUGUAUCGCCACACCACAACUCUGCUGAGCUUAAAUCCAAGAUAUAGUUAAUGAAUUCGACGAAUGACUCUUUGAGGAUCUAGCUAUGAUAAAUUGACCAACACUUAUAAGAGAUGCAGCGAGAGUUCCAGCAAUCCAGAGGGGAAAGUUCAAUCAAUCCCACCUCCAAUCGAUCACUGUUCACUCAGAACAUCUAAGAGCCAAUCCCGAUGGACUUUCACCUCCCAUCACUAGAGGCCUUUGACGAUAAUAUCGAUCCGAUAAAGCAUAUUGCUGCCUUUCAUAUCUAGAUAUCAUUGUACGACACCUCGGACGCCCUAAUGUGUCAUGCCUUCCUGACAACAUUAAGAGGCACAACACGAGAAUGGUACACCUUCUUGAAGUCGCUCUCGGUUAUCUAUUUUGCUCAACUCACAAAGGAGUUUGAGCUCUACUUUCUCGGGAAUAUGUGCCUAAGGCCAUCGGCGGUAAUGCUUCUUAGAUUCAAGUAAGGGGAGGAAAAAAAACUCUCUAACUUCAUCGCUUGAUUCACUAAUGAGAUCCGAGGCAUGUAAGAAGCUUAUCCGUCACUUGUAAUACAAGCCUUCAUGAUGGGGCUCAAGUCCUCUUGCUUUUUUUGAUUGUUCGUAGAGAGGCAACUAGCGAUGGUGCUCAACGUGCUUCAAAGGGCCAACUAAUAUGUUAUUGUAGAGGCAAUGGUCUUGAGUAAUCGCAAUGAAACGUGUAAAAGGCCAAAAUAGGAGCGAGAACUGUCACUCCCAACCUCGAGAUCACCACGACAAAGAACAUAAGACGAAGAAGAAAUGAUCGACCAGAGCUGCCUUGCUCGAGUUCUGAGUUGACUCCAUUGAAUAUAACUAGAACCGAAGUCUUUUUACAAAUAAAGAAAAAAUGGCUCUUGAAAGACCCUUAAUUGAUGAUGACACUAUUGGAGAGGAGGAACAAAUCCAAGUACUACCACUUCCACCAUAAUUAUGGCCACAAUACGGAGGACUAUCAUGAUUUGAAGGAGCAAAUUGAAAACUCAUUUGUCAAGGACACCUCGAGAGGUUUGUUCGGAGGCACCAAGAACAAUGGCUAAUGGAGAGAUAGAUCAAUAUCAUCAUCGGUGGAUCUACCUCGGGAGGAGACAACUCCUCGAGUUGUAAAGCCUACACUUGGACUACCAUCAAAAAAUGUCCGAGGUUCGAAGAUGACUCCUAAAUAACCUUUAAGGAAGAAAAGAUAGAGUACCUUAAUCCAAACCAUGACAAUGCCUUGGUGGUUUCCAUGAAGAUGAUUAACUCUCGAGUGAAGAGGGUCAUGAUUGAUAUAAGUAGCUCUAUUGAUAUCCUCUACUUUAAUGCUUUUCAAAAACUUAUGCUCUCGACUAACAAUCUCAACCCUAUUACUUCUUCGUUGAUAAGGUUUACUAGUGACUCUAUCUCUCCUCCUGGGACUAUGAGCCUACACAUCAUGUUUAGGGAUGAGCCCGGCUCCAAAAUGGUGAUGACCAAAUUUAUAGUGGUCAACAUCCUAUCAACGUACAAUGCGACCAUAGCUAAACCACACUCAACAUACUGAGGGCUAUAGUGUAGAGCUAUCAUGUGGUGAUGAAAUUUCCAAUGAUAACUAGUGUCGAAGAGCUGAGAAGCAACUUAAGGGAGUCUCCAUACGAAAGAAGGCUUGGCCUGAGGCAUCAUCAAUCGACCCUUGGAAUCUUACCAAGUCCCUCCCACAUUCAGAGUUGAUGAAGUUAUUAAUCGAGGCACCUCUUGACAAAGCUUGUCAUAGUGAGAAGAGGAUCCAAAGUCCUCCACGUGUGAAAGGACUUGAAGCCCGUCACGAUAAGGGCAAGACUCGAAAUCCGCCACGACGAAGGGAGGACUUAAAGCUUGUCACAGUUAAAGAAGGACCCAAAAUCCACCAUGGUAGAGGGAGGACUUGAAGCUCGUCACGAUAAGGGCAAGACUCGAAAUCCGCCACGACGAAGGGAGGACUUAAAACUUGUCACAGUUAAAGAAGGACCCAAAAUCCACCAUAGUAGAGGGAGGACUUGAAGCAUGCUACGAUAGAAGGAGGACACGAAAUCUAUCAUGAUAGAGGAAGGACUCGAAGCUCACCACAAUGGUGGUGUAGGGUGAAAUGUGCUAGUUACAAGUAUCUUGCAAGCCAAUCACCGUAAGUGAUGGCAUAUGUGAACACUGCAUAGUCUUUUUGCUUAUUAUUAUUAUUAGUAUUUUUCAUUUCAUGUUACUUGUUGCAUAUAUUGUGAUGUUCAUGGAUCUGUGCAAUGAGAAUUGGAUCAUGUUGAGAUCAUGAUAAUGAGACUAAUUCGCCUAUAAACACAAACAUUAAAUAUUUCCGAUCAUAGGUUUCUCGAGAGAGACAUCGAGAUAACCGGAUAGAUCGAUGUACUAUAUACCUGUCCAUCUGAUGGAGGUAGCUGGCUUCAUAACUGUUUAUGUGAAGACAUUAGGGAUAUAGUGCAGGUGCUUAUUGGAGAAUGAGUAUACUGAAUGAUUCACUCAUGGAAUGUUGGAUAGUUAAUGAUAUCUUCUCGUCAAACAAUAAUUUCAUGGUCACAGUUGUGUGUAUGGUCUUUAGACUUGAGACACCAAUGAUGCCCUAUAUGAGUACUCUACUCUUUGAUACCAAACUUAUGGGUUUGGAGGUUCUAGAUCCAACAUACUCGAUCAUUGGGAGUGGUAGCCAACCUUACGAGGGCAAUUGAGUAUCGAUAUAGAAUCAUCCACUUUCGGUGUCAUGAGAGGAAUGUCCUGUAUGUUCUCGCUCAAACAAAUCCCUGGCCAGGGUCAUUUGGAUUGAAAGAAAAUGAGUUCUUCGGAAAAAUUUGAUUAGAGUGAGACUUGAGUUGAUUCAAGAUGGGCUUGACAGCACCAUGUCCACUAUAUGGUCUUUGAGAUAUUAGAUGGAUGAUGAACUAUAUAUACACGGUAACUAAGGGCAGACAUAUCAAAUGAAUUAGAUCCCUUGUACUGUUUGAGAAUUAUGACGUGGUGACCUAGUACAUUCAUAGUCGAUGAGUUGAGUGAAUUAUCAUCUAUUGGAUGAUAAUUUACUAAAUCAGAAGGAGUUCUGAGUUAGAAAAAGUUCUGAGUCAGAAAGAGUUAUGGCGGGUGUAACUCACAGACAGCUCGGUAUUGGGCCUAGAGGGUCACAUACAUAUAAUGGAUGAUAUGAUGAAUAGAGGAUUGAAUAUGCGAUAUCCAAUAAGCCCCUAUUUUAUUAGAUUCAUUAGAUGAGAUCCAAGAAGAGUUUAGAGUAGAUAAUUGGAUAUAGAUCCAAUUUCCAUUAAGCUAGGGAUAAUUAGAUAGAGAUCCAGUAUCUAAUAUGCUAGGGAAAUUAGAUGGAGAUCCAAUACCUAAUAGGGUAAGAUCCAUUAUGGUUAGCAGUAGGAGCUCUCUAUAAACAAGGGAUGUGCGACUAAAACAUUUAUAAGGCUAAACCUUUAGCUGCCACCUCCCUAACUUCUCCCUUGCUUCUUCCUCAGCCGACUGCUCCCUCUCUGGUAUGAGAGGGUAGCAAGAAGACUGCCCCCUGCUACGUUGGUGGGGGUGAACGAAAGUGAGGAAAGAACGUAUCGCGAGAGAAGGUGCGUUGCCGCUUUAUCCAUUAUGUGAAUCACCGUUAGAGAGGAGAACACAAGAUCUCCUUCAUCCACGAACUGAGAUCUGCAGAUCAGGGAUAUACGAGUUCCCUUAUGUGAGAUCAUCUCACAUCUUACACAGGGAUAGAUCCAGUUUUCAGAUUUGAUGAGUUUUUCACUCCCAAUCGUCGUACGCAAUUUGAUAUAAUUUUGUUUUUGGGAAACCGAUUUCUGUUUUGUUUUUCUACUGUGCAUGUGAUGCUUUCCUAAAUUUCUCAACAAAAUGUGAUCAAGACAUUUGAGUCGAGAAAACCCGACCUAUGAUAAGAAAAAUCUGCUACAACAGAAGUGCAGUACGAAAUGCACUCGAGGCAUGUGAGUCGAGAAAACCUAACCCAUGCUAAGAGAAAUCUGCUAUGGUGGAGACAUAGUGUGAAAUUUGCCGGAGGUUGCGAGUUAGGAAGUACGCAUUGGGGGAGGCAAAUGAUAGUGAAUAUAAUAAUCAACAAUCAUUUGACACAUAAAUGCCACGUAGAAGCCAUUAUGGAAGGAAAAAUUAUCCAGCCUUUACGCCCACAUGGACAAAAGCCCAUAACAAGCUGUUCGAGACUGUCUCUUCUCUACUACCCACGUGGAUAAAAUGCUAAGAGGGAGACAUUGGAGCUGUUACAGAUUGUUUCCUCGAAGGCUAGGUAUAAAAAUGAAUCUCCAAUGCUACGCUCGAGGCUCUCUUCUCGAAAAAAACUCAUACCCACUAAGAGAACUUGGUCAUUAACUUGAGCAUUACAGGGAUCGGAUCGAAAAAUUUCUCCGACAUCGAUCUUAGUACAGGUACCACCUCAGAGCCACCUCGAGGGCACUUCGAACAGUCCUACACGCUCGGAUUUGGACCACAUCGGAUUGACUCAAACGUGGACGAGGAUUUUUCCUAACAAAAACUAUCAAAACGCUGAUUCAAUUUAACGAUGGAGAGAUUAAAUCACAUCCAAUGCUGAAUUAAAUGGUCAAAAAUUAUAUACGAUUGAAAUUAAUUUAGUCAAUAUUUAGUUAUUUAAUUCGAAUUAAAUAAAAAUACGAUGAGCGGCCGUCUCUUAUUGAAUGGAUAAAGCACAAUAGAAACGAAAAUUGAAGAGAAUUUAAAAUCGGAAGGGGAUGGAAAAAUGUUAAGGAAAAAGUAAAAGGAAAUUACCCGUCUACGUCGCCGAUCAAUCUUGCUCGCCUUCGUGCGCACCCACCCAUUUCUCCCCCUUCCUCCAACCUCGUCGCUGGGAAUCAUCAAUUGCCCUCCGCAAGCCCAGGCGUCUCAGGGAAACUUGAUUGGUCGGAAUCGAUGGACUCUCCGCGGCGCGUCCUCCCUCCGUCUCCUUCUCCUCCUCCGCCAUCUUCGUCGUCGAGGCCCCUCGACCUCGAAGUCACCGUCGUCUCCGCGAAUCACCUGAAGAACGUCAACUGGCGCAACGGCGACCUCAAGCCUUACGUCGUCGUCUACCUCGACCCCGAUCGCCGCGCCGCCAGCAAGCCCGACGACGCCGGCUCCACCCGCCCUGUCUGGAACGAGCGCCUCGCCCUCCCCCUCCCCUCGGCGGAGACCCUUCUCUUCCUCACCCUCGAUGUCUUCCACUCCAAGCCUUCCGAGACCCCCAAGCCCCUCGUCGGCACCGCCCGAUCCCGUCUCAAGGACCUCCUCCAUCAGGACGCCUUCGCCGGCUACGCCACCGGCCGCGGAGGCGGAGCCCCACCGUCUCCCGUCCGAACCCUCGAGCUCCGGCGCCCAUCCGGCCGCCCCCAGGGUAAGAUCCGCAUCAGGCUCGCCAUCCGAGAGCGCCCCUGCCCCCCACCCGAACCCAGACCCGGUUACCACUUCCCCCCUCCCCCACCCUCCUCCGGCUACUAUUUUCCCUCCAACGCUCCUCCCUUCCCUUCUCCACCUCCUCCUCACUCGGCUAGAGAUUACCGCAACUUCUCUCCGCCGCCCCCUCCCAUCCCUCCUUACGGCCACCCUAUCCCGUCCCACCCCCCUCCCUCGCAGUACCCAUAUGGAAGAUACUCCGAUCCCUACUCUUCUGGAUAUUACUCCCCUGCCGCUGCAUACUACUCGGCCCCUCCGGCUCCGGCCCCUGCCCCGGCCCAGCCCUACUAUGAUCGGCCAUCCGGCUACGGGGGGCCAUCAGCCCCGACGGGCUACUCAUCAGGGUUUUCUGCUUAUGAUCAUAGGCCAAAAGGUGGCAAAAUUGGAGCGGCUACGGGCCUGGCAGUUGGGGCGGUAGCUGGUGCAUUAGGAGGGUUGGUACUGGAAGAAGAACUGAGGUACGAGGAAGAGAAGAUCAACGAAAGGGCGGAGAGCUCUUUCUCUGCAAGAGAUGAUUAUUACAGUGACCAUCGUGCAGACUACUAACUACCAUGAACUUGCUGGUGUUCCUUGCCAUUGCUGUUCAGUAGUGUUGGAAGAGGCAAAGAUGAAUAAAUGAUGCCGCUUCAAUGUUGUCGCUUUGAUAUCUCGUACCAUCGUGUAUAUGGUGUCGCUGCAGUGUUGAUGACCAACGAACAAAGGUGUGCUUUUAUGUUCUCAUGCUUUUGGUGCACUUGAGAUUAGGACACUGUGCUUGUCUAGUAUCUAUCUCAGUUGUUGUUAUCUUGUACUGUUGUUGAAUUUCCUGUCUUGAAAAAGGUUAUUGCUUUACUUGUUAUUUUCCUUCUUAGCAUAGUUUGAUCUAUUUUUCUUCCAUCAGUUAGACCUUAACAUUAAAUUGAGUUCUGUUUUCAGAUGUCUUUGGUAGUCAUGUCAGGUUUUGUAUUGUAGAUCCUGGUUUAAUUCAGCCAUUGACAACUAUUAGUAAAGAAGUUAAGAUUAGUCAAACCUGAUAAUAGAUUUUGAUUUAUUAUGUUGCAGAUCAUGCAAGUGUAAUAAUGUCUGAUAAUCUGAAGUAUUUCAUAGAAAGUAGGGAUACUUGGCAUAAUUAAGGUCAAGUAAUAUUUCUUUUUGAAGCAUGUCGAUGGUCAGUGGCAUUUUUGUACAAGUAUUUGGCUUGAUGUGGAUUUAGUGAAUUUGUCUUGCGGACUGAGGGGAAUCAUGUUGCUCUUUCUUGAUUUUGAGAAACAAUGAAGCGGGCAAUGAAUAGAAAUUUUUAUGCCUCAUGCUGCAAUCUCUUGCUUGUCUUGAUCUUUCGGACUGCAUUACUACUUCACCAUCGACAUCAUGGACUCCCUCACACACUUCAUGGAGUUAUGUGUGUUGGUUGCAUGGUCUAUGCAGACCAUUAUGAGGCUCUUGAUUGGUAAAUGCCCAUUUAAUUUCUUUUGUGGUUUUCUUCCUUACUUUGUGAGCAUUAGAGGUUAGCUAUUUACCAAUCUCUUGCUUGAUCUUUCGGACUGCAUUACUACUUCACCAUCGACAUCAUGGACUCCCUCACACACUUCAUGGAGUUGUGUGUGUUGGUUGCAUGGUCUAUACAGACCAUUAUGAGGCUCUUGAUUGGUAAGUGCCCAUUUAAUUUCUUUUGUGGUUUUCUUCCUUAGUUUGUGAGCAUUAGAGGUUAGCUAUUUGCAUCAUACCAACUUGACUACUGUAUAUGUUGCUCUUUCUGACUGGAUGUGAGAUGAGACUCAACUUUAUAUGCCUAGAUUAGUGAGGUUUUUUUUUCUAUAAAUUAUUUUUUUCAUUAUUUUAAAUUGCAUAUAUAUAAUAUGCUCCAACAUGAAUCUGAAGUUGAGACUUAUCAUCUGUAUAAUAAUGUGCUAAUCAUCUGGAUGUCCCAACAGAGACCUUUUAUGGUAAGCUGCUUAUAGUGCCUGACCACUGAACACAACAUAUCAACCUACUUGUGCUUUCAUUUCUGUUGUUCCCAAAAAAUAGAACAAACACAGCACUUAUGCAUCAUUUAGGGCUAUAACUGCCCACUAAGAUUAGUCUUUUGUCUCACUGUAAUUCCGUAUUUCUUGAAGUUCAUUACACAGAUCACCAAGCAGCACAGUCGGCAGUUUUAGCUGCAUAUUGACCUCAUCCAGAUUGCAUGUUGCUGCUUGAGGUAAAACUCCUCUCUUAUAUGGAUACCUUCUCUUACAUUAUCAUAGUCAGCUGUAUUAUCAGUUUUUUUUCUAGUUUGCAUAUAUUGUGUGGUCAUUCAAUCUAUUGCAUGUUUAUCAGUCAUGGAUGCCCUCACCAUUUUGGGCCACUUUUGUAGCUGGUUCAUAGGUGUUGUCUCUUAUGUUAGUUUAUCUCACUACCAAGGCAUUUGUUUUAGGCAAAGAUGUCAAACCUUUUCUUCUUUCUGCUGUACUAACUGUUGUCCUUUGCCUUUCUCUGUUAAAGCACACUAUCAAUCAUACCUGUGUGUUUUUUUACUCGGGUAUGUUCAUGUACGUUACACCACAAUCGUGGACAAUAUAUAUGUAUAUGUUCUUCUUGUUUGCUAUCGUUCCAUCAUUCGUAAGGGCUCAUUUAGGCCUUUUGUUCUGAACAUAUGGAUGUGUAUUUUCCACAUGAAGUACUAAAAGUCUUUACUUUCGAGACGACACAUUCCCUACUGCUACCCUGUGCUGAAACAUCCAUUUCAGCGACCCAACUUUCCUUCUUUCGUGGUUGAUCCCCCUCUUAUGUGCCGCUGUGUUGCUCAACACUUUCAGCAAGCGAGCAUGGUAUCGACUCUACCUGGCCUUUUGAUCUUAUUGCCAGCGUUGUUUGCCGUCGAAAAGGCCCGCUACUAUUUUGAUAAGCAAUUAAUUGAUUGAAUAUUAAUUCUGCUUUGAGAAGAAGAAUAAAAGGGCUUUCUAGCAUUCCAGAAACGAAAACAAAAACUAUAAUUUCUUGCCUGAAUCCUACAAGAGCCAACCAUAAGGAAGUCUGAUGAUUGAUGAUAAAUACAAAGGCUGGCUAUGAAUCUGGCGAACAAAAUACAGUGAAAUUUUAUGCAGACAGGUAUCAUGGGGCAUCGAUAGUUGCUAAUUUCAUUGGUUCCUACGCAAACAAUUAAUAUACAAUCAGUUUGAUAAAACCCUAAAAUCUUAAUCUAAGAAAAGAAAUAAGAACUUGAUCAUUUCCAGAGGAUCAACUUCUUUUUAAUCCCUUCGAGACGAUCAAUUGGUCACAAUGAGUUGUAUUUCAUUGCUUUAAAAAAUCAAAUGUAUAUAUAUAUAUAUAUAUAUAUAUAUAUAUAUAUAUAUAUAUAUAUAUAUAUAUAUAGUUAUUUAGUUCAUAAUCAACUAGGACUAGGACUUCUAACAAAAGAAAUAAAUAAAAAUAUCAAUAUCUAAUUUUCUAUCCUAUCUUAAUUGGAAAAAACUCAAAACCUCCUAUCAUAUUUAGGAAAAACUAAAUUAAAAUUAAAAAUUAAAAUUAAAUCCUUAAAAUUAAGGACUUUUAAAAUUAAGGAAUCCUAACAUUUCUUGCAUCUACAAAGCAGCCUUGUCUUUAACAUUGAGGAGCAAUGAAUUCUAAAAACUUCUCUUCAAUGCCUUGUAAGACUCCCAAGUUGUAUCUUCAAUUGGUAAGCUAGACCAUUGAACAAGCAAAAGGAUAUCUAUAGCGCAUCACAAUAUGUCAAUCAAGUAUGACUUGAGGCAAGAUUUGAACCUCACCAUUAGAAGAAAAUAUCUGGCAAAUGGUGUUGUACCACAUCAUUCUUACUUAGCUUCUUUUUAAAGCAAGAAACAUGAAAAAUUAGAUGUAUCUUAGAGCUCACUGACAAGUCCAAACGAUAAGCAACUAAACCAAUACGUUCUAACACCUUAUAAGGCCCAAAGAAUCAAAGAGAUAACUUCAUAAAAGACAAAACAUUUAUAGAAGUUUGUAUGUAAAGUUGAAGUCAAAGUAAAAUCCAAUUGCCCACUGCAAACUCUCACUCGCUGUGAUGCUUAUCAGCUUGUUGCUUCAUUCUAGAUUGUGAGACUACGAGAUUAUCUCUUAAAAGUUGAAUACUCUUAGCCCUAUCAAGCAAUUCCUUAUCCACUUGAUCAACCUUAGAAGAACCAGACAUAUUUUUUAUAAUCAUGGGAGACCAUAAAUCGCUUCAAAAGGAGUCAUUUUAGUAAAAGAGUGAUAAAUGAUAUUAUACCACCAUUAUGUCUAAAAAAGUCAUUUCAUCAACUCCUUUGGUUAACCAAAGAUAGUUGUUUAGAUAGUUCACCGCUUUAGUUUGUCUAUCUGUUUGCAGGUGAUAAGCAGUUUUUUGAAUGUCAGCUUUAUGUAUAUGAAUUUGGUGAUAGAUAGAUGGUAAAUCUAUUUUAGUGAAAACUUAUGCACCACCUGAUUCAUCAAGU